AGCUGAAGGUACCACUGGAUGGCCAGGGGCAGAGGAAGGAUUAGCAAAAAGUUUUAAAAAAGCAUAUCACCCACAGCAAAAGAACUGCAGGCAAGAGUCUCCAGCUAUUGCAGGCAGGACAGGAUGAAUGGGUAGACUACAAAGAAUCUACAAAAUCCAGUCAGCCUAAACACCCGCCUUGGCCCGAAAGGAAGAGUUCUGCUUGUAACAGGUCUGGCCAGGUAAGCA
rnacentral:lncRNA from 10 species